AUUGAACGCUGGCGGCAUGCUUUACACAUGCAAGUCGAGCGGCAGCGCGGGGUUCAGGCAACUGAGCCCUGGCGGCGAGCGGCGAACGGGUGAGUAAUACAUCGGAACGUACCCAGGAGUGGGGGAUAGCCCGGCGAAAGCCGGAUUAAUACCGCAUACGAUCUGUGGAUGAAAGUGGGGGACCUAAGGGCAACUGAGGGCCUCACGCUUUUGGAGCGGCCGAUGUCCGAUUAGCUAGUUGGUGGGGUAAAGGCCUACCAAGGCGACGAUCGGUAGCUGGUCUGAGAGGAUGAUCAGCCACACUGGGACUGAGACACGGCCCAGACUCCUACGGGAGGCAGCAGUGGGAAUUUUGGACAAUGGGGCAACCCUGAUCCAGCCAUGCCGCGUG
rnacentral:rRNA from 1 species